rnacentral:lncRNA from 1 species
AAUAAAAAAAAAAGUUGUUAGAAUUUUUUAAAGUUCUGUGAUGUACAUAAAUUGUUUUAUUACUUAAUAUUUUUUUUAUUGUGUAUGCAUAAGCUAACUAUUUCUAUUGUCGUUUCAUAUUCCUGAGUAUCCUGCAUGGUGACUGGUCCGGGACUACAGCAAAAAAAAAAAAAAAAUAAUCAGCUUAGAGAAAACUACAAGCAUUUAAAGAGAAAUAUAGAUACAUAGUGACAGUAAUAUAACCUCAAAUUUUACAUGACUCUAUGAAAAUUGACAGAAAAAGAAAAACUGUGUAAAAUAGUGUAUAUAGAACGAUUAGUUUCAAAUCAGAGGAUUUAUUCAUAACGGAGCAGACAGCCAGCACAUCAAGAUGACAAAAUAACCCAUAAACUUUGAAUUAUUAUUGAUAUUAUGUGUUAUCUCAUAUCAAACCAC